GAUGAAGAACGUAGCGAAAUGCGAAAAGUAGUGUGAAUUGCAGAAUUCAGUGAAUCAUCGAAUCUUUGAACGCACAUUGCGCCCUUUGGUAUUCCUUAGGGCAUGCCUGUUCGAGCGUCAUUUAAACCUUCAAGCUAAGCUUGGUGUUGGGUGACUGUCCGCUUCACUGCGGACUCGCCUCAAAAUUAUUGGCGGCCGGUACAUUGGCUUCGAGCGCAGCAGAAACGCGAACUCGGGCCCGUCGUAUUGGCUCCCAGAAGCUAUCUUCACAAUUUUGACCUCGGAUCAGGUAGGGAUACCCGCUGAACUUAAGCAUAUCAAUAAGCGGAGGA
rnacentral:misc_RNA from 1 species